UUUAAAUCCAAGAGGGUGAGGGAUGCUCCCUCUUACAGCAUAUUUUUGUGAAGAGGAUUUUGGCUGGGUUUGGAGCAUCCAAAGUGGGGAUGUUGGGUCAUUUCCCAGAUUUUCAUCUCUGUUUUCAGUGUCUUUAAAUCCAAAGGGGGUCAGGGAUGCUCCUCCUCCCGGGAUAUUUGUGUGUACAGAUUUUGGCCAAGGUUGCACUGGAGCUCCUCAGCAUCCAAAGUGGGGAUGUUGGGUCAUUUCCUGGAUUUUUACCCCAGUUUUAGUUGUGUUUAAAUCCAGGUGGGUGAGGGAUGUUCCCUCUUACAGGAUAUUUUGUGCGAAGAGGAUUUUGGCCAAAGUGGGGAUGAUGGGUCAUUUCCAGAAUUUUUUUAUCCCAUUUUUUGCUGUAUUUAAAUCCAGGGGAGAGGUCAGGGAUGCUUCUUCUUACAGGAUAUUGAUGUGAAGAGGAUUUUGAUUGGGGUUGGAGCAUCCAAAGUGGAGGUGUUGGGUCAUUUCUCAGAUUUUUUUUAAUCUCAAUUUUGGUGUGUUUAAAUCUAGUGGGGUCAGGGAUGCUCCCCCUCCCAGGAUAUUUGUGUCUUGAGAUUUUGGCCUGGGGGUCCUCAGCAUCCAAAGUGGGGGUGUUGGGUCAUUUCCGGGAUUUUUAUCCCAGUUUUUUGGUGUGUUUAAAGCUGAGGGGGACAGGGAUGCUCCCUCUUACAGGAUGUUGGUUUGUCAAGGAUUUUGAUUGGGGUUGGAGCAUCCAAAGUGGAGGUGUUGAGUCAUUUCCCAGAUUUUUAUCUCUGUUUUCAGUGCCUUUAAAUCCAAAAGGGGUCAGGGAUGCUCCCCCUCCCAGGAUAUUUGUGUGUCAAGGAUUUUGGCCAAAGUGGGGAUAUUGAGUAAUUUCCUGGAUUUUUAUCCCAGUUUUUGUCGUAUUUAAAUCCAGGGGGGUGAGGAAUGCUCCCUCUUACAGGAUAUUUGUCAAGGGUUUGAUUGGGGUUGGAGCAUCCAAAGUGGGGAUGUUGCGUCAUUUCUCUGAUUUUAAUUUUAGGUUCUUGUUGUGUUUCAAUCCAGGGGGGUCAGGGAUGCUCCCCCUCCCGGGAUAUUUGUGUGUAGAGAUUUUGGUCAAGGUUGGACUGGAGCUCCUCAGUGUCCAAAGUGGGGAUUUUGGGUCAUUUCCAGGAUUUUUACCCCAGUUUUGGGUGUGUUUAAAUCCAGGUGGGUGAGGGAUGUUCCCUCUUACAGAGUAUUUUGUGUGAAGAGGAUUUUGGCCAAAGUGGGGAUGUUGGGUCAUUUCCAGAAUUUUUUUAUCCCAUUUUUUUGCUGUAUUUAAAUCCAGGGGAGAGGUCAGGGAUGCUUCUUCUUACAGGAUAUUGAUGUGCAGAGGAUUUUGAUUGGG
rnacentral:lncRNA from 1 species